ACUUAUUCACUCUUGGGACCUGUGCUGGUUUUUGCCACGGUUAUAUUUCUCUGAUUAUCACCGGGUAACAAUUGGCACAGGUCUGAUCCCGAGAC
rnacentral:pre_miRNA from 1 species